rnacentral:tRNA from 1 species
GCCUGGGUGGCUCAGUGAUUGAGCAUCUGCCUUUGGCUCAGGUUCUGAUCCCAGGAUUUUGGGAUCAAGUCCCAGGUCAGGCU